AUUGAACGCUGGCGGAAUGCUUUACACAUGCAAGUCGAACGGCAGCACGGACUUCGGUCUGGUGGCGAGUGGCGAACGGGUGAGUAAUAUAUCGGAACGUGCCCAGUCGUGGGGGAUAACGUAGUGAAAAUUACGCUAAUACCGCAUACGAUCUAUGGAUGAAAGCGGGGGAUCGCAAGACCUCGCGCGAUUGGAGCGGCCGAUAUCAGAUUAGGUAGUUGGUGAGGUAAAGGCUCACCAAGCCAACGAUCUGUAGCUGGUCUGAGAGGACGACCAGCCACACUGGGACUGAGACACGGCCCAGACUCCUACGGGAGGCAGCAGUGGGGAAUUUUGGACAAUGGACGCAAGUCUGAUCCAGCCAUUCCGCGUGCAGGACGAAGGCCUUCGGGUUGUAAACUGCUUUUGUGCAGAACGAAAAGGUUUCUAUUAAUACUAGGGGCUCAUGACGGUACUGUAAGAAUAAGCACCGGCUAGCUACGUGCCAGCCGCCGCUGUAA
rnacentral:rRNA from 1 species